rnacentral:rRNA from 1 species
AUUGAACGCUGGCGGCAUGCCUUACACAUGCAAGUCGAACGGCAGCACGGGUGCUUGCACCUGGUGGCGAGUGGCGAACGGGUGAGUAAUACAUCGGAACGUACCUUAUCGUGGGGGAUAACGCAGCGAAAGCUGUGCUAAUACCGCAUACGCCCUGAGGGGGAAAGCGGGGGAUCGCAAGACCUCGCGCGAUUAGAGCGGCCGAUGCCUGAUUAGCUUGUUGGGGGGGUAAAAGCCCACCAAGGCGACGAUCAGUAGCUGGUCUGAGAGGACGAUCAGCCACACUGGGACUGAGACACGGCCCAGACUCCUAUGGGAGGCAGCAGUGGGGAAUUUUGGACAAUGGGGGCAACCCUGAUCCAGCAAUGCCGCGUGAGUGAAGAAGGCCUUCGGGUUGUAAAGCUCUUUUGUCAGGGAAGAAACACCGGCUCUAACACAGUCCGGGAAUGACGGUACCUGAAGAAUAAGCACCGGCUAACUACGUGCCAGCCGCCGCCGUAA